rnacentral:lncRNA from 1 species
UUUUGUAAGUAUAGAGGCCAAAAAGGAAUUCUAAGGGAUUCUCCAAAUUAAAACUGUGAACCAAUUCUAUUUCAACCAACAAUUCCUUGACAUCAAAUACAAUUGUAUCUUUCAAUUGUUGGGCUAUUAACAUCAGACGAUCAAUUAUGUUGUUACCCAAUAUAAAAAACAAUGCCGAUCUUUUGUUAGAGAAAACUCUCUCUGUCUUAAAAGUAUAAUAAUGCCAUCUUGACUUCUUGGGGUGAGCAUAGAAGUACAUAAAAGUUUCACUAUAUAUUAAUCUUUUAACAUGAGCCACACUGAAACCUUGACACAUCUAGUCCUCGCUGGUUCAUAUUAAUGUUUCAUCUCUACAAAAAAAUAUAAUAGCUUAGAAUGGUGGAGCACGGAUGUGACUUCCUCAUUACAACGGUGAAUUAAAAAGUUUCACCAAGCGAGUAUUCACCUGUUAAAAUAAGAUUUUAGCUCAUAGUGCAUCUAGAGUACUGCAUCAAUAGUAAAAGCACUACCAAAUUUUAAAUAUAUCUACUAAAUUGGAUCAUCACAAUAUUUUUAUAUUAUGAACCUAACAAAGUACAAUUGCAUAUAAUACUUUAAAUAGAUGAAAAAAGAAGUAAAAUCAAUACUUGAUGAGAUAUGCUUUGACAUAUUAUUGAAUCAAUCAGUAAUGUAUUGGAAAAUGAAGUUCACAGUAAGAAAAUUAGAAGAUGGAAAAAAAAAUUAAGGAUUAAGUUAGUUAUUAAAACAAAAUAAAUACCACUGUUUACAUGACAAUUCAUCAUUCAUUUGGAAGAAGCUUGUAUGCAUUUACAAAAGUAAGUACACUACCAUUUAUGUAAUGUAUUUAGGAAAUUAAAUAUAGCAUUUACAUCAUGUUUUAUUUUCUUAGUACACCAAAAUAUAGCAAAAGUAAACUUCUAGACUUAACUAAGGUGAUUAAAUUUUCUCUUUACUUAAUAUUGAUGAGAAAUGGAGGGAUCAAAAUAACUAAGAUAUCUUCUUGUCAUUUACCUUUUCAGCUUCUUUCAUACUCAAUUUUCUUAUCCCUUAUAUUGUUUGUCAUAUUAUCAUUAUGUGUUUGUUCAAGAGAUAAUUUUAUCUGCACACAGUUACGUUAUAAAUUUUCACUUAAUUUCUGGUCGUGAACGCAACAUUGUACAUCAAUUAGUCAAACACACAAGAAGACUCUCUGCUCCUACCCUCCUAUAAACCUCUAGUUUGUGGUAUGUAGAAAAUUCACAAAAGUAAGAGUAAAGAAAAUUAAAAGGUAGUUUUAUAUCCAUAUAAAAGAGAUUUUUGCACAUUCUUAGAGUACAGUAUCUUCGAAUUUUAUCUCAACCCAAUUUUGAUACAUAAAUUUAUGUCGCUAGCCAAUCCGAUAUAACCAAACCAAACUAAUGGCAUCCGGAACAAACUAAAAAAAUUCUUUCUAUAUAUCUUUGAAAAGGAUAAAAGAUAGAAGUACGAUCAUAGCAUUAGAGACCAAAAUUUUGCUCCCCAAAUAUUAAAAGACACAAGUAAAGAGAAAAUAGACAUGCAUCAAAAGAAUCAUAAGCAUAUUUUUGAGGAAUAACACUAAAAAAAGUACUUGUACAAAUAACCAAAGAUUUAUAUGGUAGACAUAAUAAAUUCUAGCAAAAGACGUCUAUAAUUAAAUAUAUGAUUAAAACACAAAAUUGAAUUUGGGCUUACCUGAGCUAUGAUUAAAUACUUUCUAGUUAGUUCCUAUCUCCUAGGAAGUGCAUACCUGCCCUCAAUUUUAUGUACCAUGUGACCCAAUAGUUAAGCUGAAAACAUGUAAAUUCAUACGAAUAGUAUCGCUCAUAUAUUUAUUCCUCCCAACAGAUACCUUGAUAGAUGCUUGGCCUGUAAACAGAAGCUCCUUUAAGGAUUAAGUUUGCUUGCUCCAAUGUUUUUCCUUAGAAUCUAAUGUUUAUAUGGUAGACAUAAUAAAAUCUAGCAAAAGACGUCUAAUUAAAUAUAUGAUUAAAACACAAAAUUGAAUUUGUGGUUACCUGAGCUAUGAUUACACAAUAAUUUUUCCGGCAAACGACAGAUUUUCAGGAUGUGAAACCUCAUCUACUUCUUCCUUAUAUCUAGUUUUUGUAAUUUUUUUUUUUUUGCUUUCACUUCGCUUGUAUAGGAAAUCAACAAAUUAGAACAAAAUCCCACGUCAAGAUCCAAGAAUAAAGAGAAAAAAUAUUGAAUUUGAAAAAGAAGUCUUGAUUAAAGAAAAAACAACAUUUGGAAAAAAGAAACCCACAAAAAGAGAAUCGAAGCGACCCAAAGUUUGGCAUCUCUUUGGAACCACUCUUUUUCCCAAUCUUUGUAAGCGUCUUUUCGUUUAUGUGCGGCAGUUUUC